rnacentral:rRNA from 1 species
GAUCCUGGCUCAGGAUGAACGCUGACAGAAUGCUUAACACAUGCAAGUCUACUUGAACUUCGGUUUGGGUGGCGGACGGGUGAGUAACGCGUAAAGAACUUGCCUCACAGACUGGGACAACAUCUGGAAACGGAUGCUAAUACCGGAUAUUAUGAUUUUAGUGCAUGCUAGAAUUAUGAAAGCUAUAUGCGCUGUGAGAGAGCUUUGCGUCCCAUUAGCUAGUUGG